GGAGCGUUCUGUAAGCCUGCGAAGGUGUGCUGUGAGGCAUGCUGGAGGUAUCAGAAGUGCGAAUGCUGACAUAAGUAACGAUAAAGCGGGUGAAAAGCCCGCUCGCCGGAAGACCAAGGGUUCCUGUCCAACGUUAAUCGGGGCAGGGUGAGUCGACCCCUAAGGCGAGGCCGAAAGGCGUAGUCGAUGGGAAACAGGUUAAUAUUCCUGUACUUGGUGUUACUGCGAAGGGGGGACGGAGAAGGCUAUGUUGGCCGGGCGACGGUUGUCCCGGUUUAAGCGUGUAGGCUGGUUUUCCAGGCAAAUCCGGAAAAUCAAGGCUGAGGCGUGAUGACGAGGCACUACGGUGCUGAAGCAACAAAUGCCCUGCUUCCAGGAAAAGCCUCUAAGCAUCAGGUAACAUCAAAUCGUACCCCAAACCGACACAGGUGGUCAGGUAGAGAAUACCAAGGCGCUUGAGAGAACUCGGGUGAAGGAACUAGGCAAAAUGGUGCCGUAACUUCGGGAGAAGGCACGCUGAUAUGUAGGUGAAGUCCCUUGCGGAUGGAGCUGAAAUCAGUCGAAGAUACCAGCUGGCUGCAACUGUUUAUUAAAAACACAGCACUGUGCAAACACGAAAGUGGACGUAUACGGUGUGACGCCUGCCCGGUGCCGGAAGGUUAAUUGAUGGGGUCAGCGCAAGCGAAGCUCUUGAUCGAAGCCCCGGUAAACGGCGGCCGUAACUAUAACGGUCCUAAGGUAGCGAAAUUCCUUGUCGGGUAAGUUCCGACCUGCACGAAUGGCGUAAUGAUGGCCAGGCUGUCUCCACCCGAGACUCAGUGAAAUUGAACUCGCUGUGAAGAUGCAGUGUACCCGCGGCAAGACGGAAAGACCCCGUGAACCUUUACUAUAGCUUGACACUGAACAUUGAGCCUUGAUGUGUAGGAUAGGUGGGAGGCUUUGAAGUGUGGACGCCAGUCUGCAUGGAGCCGGCCUUGAAAUACCACCCUUUAAUGUUUGAUGUUCUAACGUGGACCCGUGAUCCGGGUUGCGGACAGUGUCUGGUGGGUAGUUUGACUGGGGCGGUCUCCUCCUAAAGAGUAACGGAGGAGCACGAAGGUUGGCUAAUCCUGGUCGGACAUCAGGAGGUUAGUGCAAUGGCAUAAGCCAGCUUGACUGCGAGCGUGACGGCGCGAGCAGGUGCGAAAGCAGGUCAUAGUGAUCCGGUGGUUCUGAAUGGAAGGGCCAUCGCUCAACGGAUAAAAGGUACUCCGGGGAUAACAGGCUGAUACCGCCCAAGAGUUCAUAUCGACGGCGGUGUUUGGCACCUCGAUGUCGGCUCAUCACAUCCUGGGGCUGAAGUAGGUCCCAAGGGUAUGGCUGUUCGCCAUUUAAAGUGGUACGCGAGCUGGGUUUAGAACGUCGUGAGACAGUUCGGUCCCUAUCUGCCGUGGGCGCUGGAGAACUGAGGGGGGCUGCUCCUAGUACGAGAGGACCGGAGUGGACGCAUCACUGGUGUUCGGGUUGUCAUGCCAAUGGCACUGCCCGGUAGCUAAAUGCGGAAGAGAUAAGUGCUGAAAGCAUCUAAGCACGAAACUUGCCCCGAGAUGAGUUCUCCCUGACCCUUUAAGGGUCCUGAAGGAACGUUGAAGACGACGACGUUGAUAGGCCGGGUGUGUAAGCGCAGCGAUGCGUUGAGCUAACCGGUACUAAUGAACCGUGAGGCUUAACCUUACAACGCCGAAGGUGUUU
rnacentral:rRNA from 1 species